GGAGUUAAAAGAGGAGAUAAAGGAGGAAGAAAAGAGAGAAGAGGACAGAAGGGGACAAGCGACAGAGAGAUGUAAAAAAGAAAGAAAGAGGGGCAAGAGAAGAAUAACAAUAAUGAGGAAUUUCUGGUAAGUGAAAUUGAAGACUGAGAGAAGAAGAGAAGAGAAGAGAGAGUUAAAAAAAAGGAGAAAAGGAGAAAGAAGAGUGAAGCUGGAAAGCAGCAGUGAUGAAUGCGGCUCGGAUUCAUGACAAACACAAGCUGAAGUCGUUCUGGGAGCAGAGGAUCAUUCAACACAGCGAGCAGAUGGACGAGGAGGAGAACCGCAUGAGGAGCAGCUCUCUGACACGGCUGAGGGAGCAGUGGUCGGUCAGGUUGGAUCAGAGGAAUCAGCACCAACAGAGUUUCUUCGAGGAAAGACUCAGACGAGCUCAGAAAGCUCAGCAGAGCCUCAGGAAGCUCAGCUUUCCCUAAAAGUUCCAGAUCGAGCUGGGGAAGGUUACAAAAUCUAUCUUUUUAGAAACACAUAAAAUAGGCACCUUCUUAAGGAAGGUUUACCUUGCAUUUGAAACUAGCAUGGUAACAUUGUUUUGUCAUUACUUGUAUAUAUUAAGGAUUUUCCAUUGGCCUGGGUUGGUCCACUUUAGCCAUGAUGGGCCAAGUCAUGUCGUCAUGACAUGUGUUUCCACUACAGCUUGAGUAGCCGCUAGCAAGCCCCCAGGAAGAGCACAGGCCUUUGGAGCCAAUUUGACAUAGUGGCCAAACCACGUAAUUACAGCAAAAAGCUUUUUAUCUUAUAAGCUUACAUUGUAAAAUAAGCAGCUGUAAGAUGGUAGAUUUUUUGAGCAUCACAACCCUCGACGAAAUUACAUCAGAAUUUGAUCAGUCCGGUCUGAUAACAUUUGGAAAGUCUAGAAGAGUCGUACAAUUAAAUAAUUUUCUCCCCAUUAAAGUUAGCAUGUUGAACUGGAAGUUAGCGGCUCGGUCAGCAGUAGACUGCAGUGCUUGCUCUAUUGGCCCGCACGAUGUGAAAGCAGAUGUGGGUAAUUUUACACCGGGAAAUCAAACUUUUUUGACUUCAUGCGCCACUGAGCAGCUUCCAUAGAAUUUAAUGGGGCCUCGCCUCCAGCACUGUAUCUAUAUGUGAUUAAGGUGAGCACGAAAGGCAACAACUUUUACCACGUCCCCACAUUGUGUCAUCAAGUCAAGACAAGUUGCGGCAACGUGGCUUGCCUACUCAUGGCUCUUCGCAGCAUGGCUCAGUGUGACAACCUCCACCAUAAUAGAAAAGACUAUAUGUUGAUGUUGUUACUCCAUAACCACGUAAUCCAUGGUCUAGUAAAAGUAAAUAGAUAAAAUCUCCAUCUCCAAAUUAGUAUCUUCAACUUUACUUGCUUGCUUUACUUUUCAUCCUUGCAAAGAUGUAAAUGAAAUCAUUAAAAUGUAAAAACCCUUUGAAACUGUUUGGAAAAUGUCAUUCAACUUCAAGAUUUGUUUGUAGUGUUGAAUCAUUUUAUGCGACACCAGACUUAAAAAUAUAUAAAAGUCAUGAUGGUGAAGAAGCUGAGGUCGAUCCAGGGAGGGAAUGUGAUCGAAUCAUUGCUUUUCUGGAGAAUUGAUGUGGGCCAGUGUUGGGAAAUGUGACAGUGGUGUGUCUUUGAUGUGACCUUUUUCAGUUUUUAGCAGCCACAUUUUAAAUAAAGUUUGCCCUAAUAAAA